rnacentral:rRNA from 1 species
UACGUAGGGUGCGAGCGUUAAUCGGAAUUACUGGGCGUAAGGCGUGCGCAGGCGGUUUUGUAAGCCAGAUGUGAAAGCCCCGGGCUCAACCUGGGAAUGGCAUUUGGGACUGCAAGGCUGGAGUUUGGCAGAGGAGACUGGAAUUCCUGGUGUAGCAGUGAAAUGCGUAGAUAUCAGGAGGAACACCGAUGGCGAAGGCAGGUCUCUGGGCUGAAACUGACGCUCAAGCACGAAAGCGUGGGGAGCAAACAGG